rnacentral:rRNA from 1 species
CCCUUUGUGUACCUACCUCUGUUGCUUUGGCGGGCCGCGGUCCUCCGCGGCCGCCCCCCUCCCCGGGGGGUGGCCAGCGCCCGCCAGAGGACCAUCAAACUCCAGUCAGUAAACGAUGCAGUCUGAAAAACAUUUAAUAAACUAAAACUUUCAACAACGGAUCUCUUGGUUCUGGCAUCGAUGAAGAACGCAGCGAAAUGCGAUAAGUAAUGUGAAUUGCAGAAUUCAGUGAAUCAUCGAAUCUUUGAACGCACAUUGCGCCCUUUGGUAUUCCGAAGGGCAUGCCUGUUCGAGCGUCAUUACAACCCUCAAGCUCUGCUUGGUAUUGGGCACCGUCCUUUGCGGGCGCGCCUCAAAGACCUCGGCGGUGGCGUCUUGCCUCAAGCGUAGUAGAACAUACAUCUCGCUUCGGAGCGCAGGGCGUCGCCCGCCGGACGAACCUUCUGAACUUUUCUCAAGGUUGACCUCGGAUCAGGUAGGGAUACCCGCUGAACUUAAGCAUAUC